rnacentral:misc_RNA from 1 species
CCAAACUUGGUCAUUUAGAGGAAGUAAAAGUCGUAACAAGGUCUCCGUAGGUGAACCUGCGGAGGGAUCAUUACCGAGUGAAGGGUCCCCGCGUGGGCCCGACCUCCCACCCUUCUGUUGACCACGACCGCGUUGCCUCGGGGGACGGCGUCCGCGCCUCCCCCGGCGGCCACCCGUCUCAAACUCUGCGUGAACCGACGUCUGAGUCUUCGAGCGAUUCGAAACAAAACUUUCAACAACGGAUCUCUUGGGUCUGGCAUCGAUGAAGAACGCAGC